GUCGAGAAUCUUUCACAAUGGGGGCAACCCUGAUGGAGCGACGCCGCGUGGAGGAUAAGGUCUUCGGAUUGUAAACUCCUGUCAUGCGUGAACAAGGUUGCUUGGUUAAUACCUGGGCAAAUUGAUGGUAACGCAAGAGGAAGAGACGGCUAACUCUGUGCCAGCAGCCGCGGUAAUACAGAGGUCUCAAGCGUUGUUCGGAAUCACUGGGCGUAAAGGGUGCGUAGGUGGCGUGGUAAGUCAGAUGUGAAAGCCCAGGGCUCAACCUCGGAACUGCAUCCGAUACUGCCAUGCUAGAGUACUGGAGAGGUGACUAGAAUUCUCGGUGUAGCAGUGAAAUGCGUAGAUAUCGAGAGGAAUACCAAAGGCGUAGGCAGGUCACUGGGCAGUUACUGACACUGAGGCACGAAGGCCAGGGGAGCGAACGGGAUUAGAAACCCUGGUAGUCC
rnacentral:rRNA from 1 species